GAUGAACGCUGGCGGCGUGCCUAAUACAUGCAAGUCGAGCGAACGGACGAGAAGCUUGCUUUUCUGAUGUUAGCGGCGGACGGGUGAGUAACACGUGGAUAACCUACCUAUAAGACUGGGAUAACUUCGGGAAACCGGAGCUAAUACCGGAUAAUAUUUUGAACCGCAUGGUUCAAAAGUGAAAGACGGUCUUGCUGUCACUUAUAGAUGGAUCCGCGCUGCAUUGCUAGUUGGUAAGGUAACGGCUUACCAAGGCAACGAUGCAUAGCCGACCUGAGGGGGUGAUCGGCCACACUGGAACUGAGACACGGUCCAGACUCCUACGGGAGGCAGCAGUAGGGAAUCUUCCGCAAUGGGCGAAAGCCUGACGGAGCAACGCCGCGUGAGUGAUGAAGGUCUUCGGAUCGUAAAACUCUGUUAUUAGGGAAGAACAUAUGUGUAAGUAACUGUGCACAUCUUGACGGUACCUAAUCAGAAAGCCACGGCUAACUACGUG
rnacentral:rRNA from 1 species